ensembl:lncRNA
CAGGCACCACAUCUUAAGUAGUUAUUAAACAAACAUUAUAGAUAGAAACAUCUACAACUGGCUUCUGUUGAAACACUGCUUAUUAUUAUAUAAUCCUUUUUCAAGUCAAAACGAAUGCAUAAUCAAAGCACAAAGCAAGCAAUUUGAAAGUUCUGAGCUGGCUGCGCAAAGCUAUAAUGCAUCAACAAACCUCUAAAUUAGUGCUCAAAACAAUAGAUGAUGGUAGAUGUACAGCAGAAAAAAAAUGGAGGAGAAAGAUAUGGGUUUACAGGCAUAGUCGAACUAAGAGUUUCUUCUGAAAUCAUUUCAUGUAGAGCCCUACGGGAAACCAUGGCCUUUGCACCUUUCACCCAGAGAUGAUCGUCUGGGAUCAAGAAGAAAAGUUGUGUGCAUUUCUGGUGUGUCACAUUGUUAUUAUAGACACUGCCAUUUGCAAAGUGCUGCAUUAAACUUUGCAGCUGAAGACAUAGAAACUUUGAGAUUAAUCUGGUGCAGAAACACUGUGAAUUGAUCCUUACCCGAUAACAUUUCUGCUUUUAACAGACUCCUUAAUGAAAAUUCAUAAGAACCUCUUCAGAUAAAUAAGGAUACAUUCUGAUCUUUAUUGUACUGGUAUGAAUUUGGAGCAACUUCAAUGAAACUAGUGGAAUUGCUCUGGAUUUACUAAUAGCGUAAAUGAAACCAAAAUGAAAACCAGAGACUUUAGAAAGACUUAAGCCACCAAUUCAGCUUUCUGAAUUGGAAGCUCGCUUAUAAAGUUUAUAGUACAAAACUUCUCUCUUCCUCCCUCUUUACAAUAACAUCUUUCUUAACAGUUCUUACUAAAUCUGCAUGAAAUAAGCUGCAUGAAAUAAAUGGUCAGGAUGUUUAAAUUUCCACCCUGUACCACCUGCAAAUUACAGGCCAGAUCCAUUUGCUUGAUUGAGGCAAGUAAGAAUCAUUACCACAUUGGUCAGCUGAUUUUUCCCUUCUUAAACACCUGCAAAUGCAAGUCACCUGGGACUUUGAACCUAUUAAGGUUCUUAUAAUUGAGACAAGGGUAAAAUAGUUAGUAAAAUGGUACAUGAACAGAAAGAUGAGAGGGGGAGAGAGAAAGACACUCUGGUUGGAUGACAAGAAAUCAUAUAACCAUAUUUGCAACUGAGCUUUGGGAGCAUGGUCUUUAUAAUGGGGUUAGCUAAUCUAGAUAAUAAUAAGGAUAGGAAAGUCAGCAAUCAUAAUCAUAUUUAAUGGAUUCCAGAUGGAGAAGUAUAAUUGUUCUCAUUAUCAUUGUGAAAACUCCAAGGAAAUACAAUCCCAAGAUACUUUACCUUGACAAGCAACCAGGAACAAUAUCAACAUCAAGUCAUGGGAUUUGGAGAAAGAGCUGUGUUGCUGUUUAUGAAUCACUGUUGGAUGAGACUCUAAGAACUGAAGAGGAGUAAUCAGUAAUAAACCUCAAACCUUUGGAGGCUAUUGGCUGCCCAUCAGCACUGCAAAUUUUGGGUACUCUACUUUGUGUACCCAAACAGAAUGAUAUUGGGAGUACCUCUGAGGAUGGGCAUUCCCAUUUACCAUGAGCUACCAUGGGAGCAUUCCCCCACUGAGGUGGGUCUCUAGGCUGGCAUAUGCCUAAAGAAACAAGUCACCAUGAAGCAACACAAGCAGAGGCAAUAUGUGGUUUUUUUUACUCUGCAAACAAAAGCAUACCAUGCAGCCAGCAUCCUCAGGCACUGCUGUCCCCACAGAGCUCCUGGAUGGACAAGAGGAGUUCCCUGGAGUGGAGGAAGGUAGGAAUGGAAAGUUUUCCUGAAUGUGUCUACAUCCCUCUAUAGCCAUCCAUACCUGGAGCCAGAGCACUGAAGGGAGCUGUGCUGAAUCACCCAGCUGGAACCUCCUUUUCUUUAGGCAUUUCAAAACCUAAGUGGUUUUUCAAAUUUCAAAACCUUCCUAAAGGAGGCAUGUCUGGUCUCACACCGUGCUCCAGCAGCAGUGGCCAGAGAGCUCUGUUCUACAAGGCAAAGCAUGUGUGCUCACCACAUUGUCUUUCACGGUCUUCUUGUGGAAUCAGUGAGAAAUGUAUACUUUUGGUUCCAGAAGAGAACAUGAUCACAACAUUGGGAUUUCCCAUAGGACGGAAAUUCUGAUCCAUCCAUAUAAUCCCAUGAGGGACUCUUGUUCAUGACUAGGAAAUGUGGACUUGUUCCAAGUGCAGUACAGGCUCCAAAAGUCCCAAACCACCAGAAGCUCCCAGAGCCCCAAGAGCCCACAAUCAAAGUAAAAAGCAGAGGGCAACAGAUGGAUGGAGACAGAUGGAGAACCACAAAGAAACCAGGAGACACAACAGGUCAUCCUAAUAACAACCAUCUCAGUGGUUUCCUCUUCAGCUUGCACUCAGAUCUUGCAGACCUGUCUUCCUUAUGCUGUCUUUAACGCUUUCAUGUCUUGACACAACCAGAGAAACUCAUAUUUGACCAUCUUAAAAGGACCUUAUGUCUUGGUUGUACAACAGUCCUAGAUAGGAAUUUAAUUCACAUUUGCCUUCAUCCUGUGAGCUCAGAGGCUGGUAAGUAAGAAAUACCAAUCGUAUGUAAAUGCCCUCCUCAUAUGGCUUUUCUAUGGGAUAUGAGAGGUUAAGUCAGAAAAAAGUAUUGCAUACUUAUAGCAAUUAGUAGUAGUUUUCUGAAAAAAAAAAAACCAAAAAAAACACCAAUAUCUGUUUUUUUUAAAUGAAAAGUUUGAACUAAAGAUAUGUGUUUCAUAUAGAUGUGGCAUGCAUGGCUGGCUAGUAUAUAACCCAUGACCAAGCAUUAGCAGUUCUCAGAGUAGAUAGUGGCUGUAGAUCUGGUAGAAACCAUUAAACACUUUCAUACUCCUAUGAUAAAUGACCACGGGGAGCUAGAAAUUGUGCUGCCUUACAAAAUUCAAAAGUAAUUUUGAUGCUUGUAAACCUCUUUCUCUAGAAAGAAUUAUUAUGAACAUUAUUUGGCCAACAGCAAGCGAAAAACCUUAUGACAGAAGAAAACAAAAGUCUGCUUUAAAAUUGUGAAAGUCUCUAUGGAGAGCAAAAGGGGGUGAAGAUGGCAAAAUAGCUGGCAGCAUAGGACACUCCAACAGCAGGAAAAUCUGAUCUUCCUUGUUAUGUGGGUGAGUGAGGUCACAAACCAGUACAGACUCUGAGAAUAUUCACGUAUUCAUGUUGUAUGUGUGGUUUGAUGGCAUUUCAAAUGUCAUUUCUAUAACUAACAGCAGAUUUCUUUCCUGAAACACUGUGCUAGAGGAACAGAUCAACACAUCUUAGCUUAUAGUACAUUUUCAGAUGAGAUCUGCUGAAGGAUGUCCUAUGGAAAUGAGAGAUGAAAGCACUGAAUUUCGAUGGGAUUGGCUUUGCCUCUGCGUACAGCGGUUUCCCUUACAAGCAGAUUUAAGGCUGAUAGAGUAACUGGUGACAACACCAGACUGGAUUUAUUUCUUUAGUACCUCUUAAGCUUUGGUCUGCUGUGACUUCAGUGGGAGCUUGAAUACCACAAUCCAAACAAAAUACAAAGUUCUGCAGUUCAGUUAGCCAUGGUUGUAGUCUAUUGUGUAAUGAGACAAAGAGAAAUGUAGCUCUCCACAAAAUGGAACUGCUGCUGCUAUUUUAUGAAACAGCUGCAUUCAGAAUGCCAGCAGAAGCUGCCGUUUGAGUGUUUUAUUGGGAUUAUCUGUUAGGAAUAAAUUAAAGAUUGCUUCAUUUAAAAUGUGCUGCAGGAACUUGGCAGGUUGAAAAAAAAAUCAAUUUGUCGCCAGAGAUCUUCGUUAAGUCAGUUAUGAUGAGAAGAUGAGGACUUCUGCAUCCUUCCAUCAACAAAAGGAAUAAAUUAUCACAAUAGCUGGAGCUUAGAGUGCUUAGCCCUUGCAACACUCUUUAGUGGAGCAAUAAUAUGGAGCCGUCAGCUGACUUGAGAGUGCAUUUUCUCCAAGAAACUCAAAGAGCAGUUAAAGCUAAUCUUGGCAAUAGGGAUGCAGUCUGUUUUACUGUAUGUUGGCGCUUGACUUGCAUGCCGUAUCACUUGAUCAGGAAAAGUUGGAUGGGCUAUGUAAUUACAUGCAAAUGUUCCUCAGGAUGGAAGCAUCAUUCUGUCAGACUGAGAAAAAAAAAAGAUAGGUCCCAUUCUUCAGAUGUGUUCAUUAGAGAAAUAACAACUUCUUUUUUUUUUUUUUUUUUAAAGCUUUAUUUUAGGGAACUCCGUCCUCUGAAAACCGGAAUCAGCCCUGGAGAUUUGUACAUUUUCUUUGAAUCAGUGCCUCCUCCAAAGAGCACAUGCAUGCCAGCAUUUGAAAGCAAUUAUGAGAGACAUUUUAAGAGGAAAUCGGGGACAUGUUGUGGAAAUGAAGGAAGAUAUUUCUCAUUCUUCUUUACUUCGUGGGUUAUAUUGCACAGACAGAUCUCACAUAGAAUGAAAUUCACUCCUGAGCAGAAAGUCAGCACAAGGCAAAUAGGUUUUGCUUAAGCCUGAGGGCUUAGAUGAGAGUUAAGUGGUGAACAGGUCCAGUGACGGCCUGCAGCACAAGUGUGCAUUUUAUUAAUCAAAGAUGUCUCAUUGUUCUGAGCCAGCACUAUCCCACUAAUACAUCCAACGCAACACUCAGACCUGUUUGAUGGGGUCUCAUUUUUGAAAGUCAGAAAUGUUAGAUGGGGAUAUUUCCGUUGUCUUCUAUUACAAAGAUAAGACUCAGAUUUUGAAUUUUCUUAAAUUUGAUUUCAGUAAAAACCGGAGUAGUGAGUUAUGCUUUUAACUAACUGCACUGUAUUAAAAGCUGCUUUAGUCCCUGCUCUUCAUAGAAGGUGUUCUUGCUUUCAAGCACAUUGUUAAUUGUCUUUCAGUUGAAAUAUGUUCUUUACAGAUAUAAGAGAAGGAUAAUAGAGUUUUUUUCUUCGCAUCAAAGGAUUAUUUAGAGAAGUUUCUUGCCUAAUUCACCACUCCUUAAGUAAGAAAUCUGGGGUUUCAAUUUUAUUUCUUUUUCCCUUGUUCUGAUUUUUUUUUUUUUUAACAGAGACAAAGGCCUGGAUAAAUGCCUACCAGAGCGUGGUUAAAUGUAAAAAUUGGUUUGUUUACAACUCAUACCUGUUGCAUUGAAGAUUUCUAGCUCAACCUACCUAAUAAGACUUCUUCCAGUUGGAUUUUCAGUGAGGAAUAGUAAGCUAUGUUAGACUCUAAAGCUGAAGAUAAUUGUAAAGCCUUUCUGUGUCUUCAGAUUUACUGAGAAACUGCAAAACUGAAGUGCAAGUAUCAUCUCUUCUCCAGGAGAAGUUAAAGGGAAUUAGAUCAGCUAACUAGAGGAUGCAGUGCCAAGCUCCAUCAGCAUGCCAGGAUUCAGCCUGCUGUCACUGUCAGGUGCUUUCCAAGCCACUGGCUGCACCGGAGUCUGUUGGUGCUGCAAACCUUGUAAUUGAUGUGCUCCCAGCCAGGCCCUCUGGGAUCCAGAUGUGGUGAGGGUAAAACACAUCAGCCCUACAAAUCUGCCACAUGGGACAGAAACUUUCCAGACCUCAGACUUGACUGUCAGCCCUGUCCUUGCUGGCUUCACACCACAGGCUGCAAAAGCUGCACCCAGCAAGGGAAAGCCUUGGCUGUGACUAGGAACUAGAGCUACCUGUAAUUGCAGAGCUAGAUGAAGGGAGAGCCUUUGUGGCACAGGCCUGUGGCUACCAUCACUGGGGAAGCUGUUCUGGUAUUAACAGCAGUGGAAGAUUUUUACCAGUUGAGGUAAGUUCUAGAAAGCAGAUAAGAUUCAGGGAUAAAAAAGCAUCAGAAGGAGCACUUCACAGCUUUGGCUGCAUUCCCCCCAAAGCAGCACUGUCCAAGUUAGAGGCAGCCAUGUGGGGAAUCAUGGGCUUAUGAGCUCUUUGAUCUUCUUCCAUCGUGCUGAUACACCUCCUUUCUGUCAUCCCAGGCUGGGCUGGAAGGGCCAAGCAUGGUCCAGAUAACACCAUUUUAAAAAUAUCUCCAUUAGCUUCAGCAGUAAUAGCAUGUGAAUGAAGAAAUCAGUUUCCUGUGAUGAAGCGAAGAGCUUUUCUGGGAAGUCAGGGUGAGGAGGAAAUAACUUAAAUGAACCAAAUGAUCAGUCCUAAGAUAACAAGAAUUUCAGUCUAGAGCUUUUCCAUUUACUUUGUUAAUUUAUCCUCCUAUCCAACACAGAGACAGAUAAUUCAGCAAUGAGUCAUUAUUAGGCAUAACAAAGCCAAAUAUGUAUUUGCAGGCAAUUUUUAGGCAGUUAACGAUCAUUGGAAUACUGUUCUCCCAGCAGAUGCUCUCUCUAUUUCUGUGAUUUGCAGAAAUCUCAGUAGGCAAAAAAAAAAAAAAAAAAUUAAAAGCACUUAUGAGCAAAAUCCUUUCUAGGAAGACUGAAUAUUUUCUUUCUAUUAGUAUUGUUACUUUACUUCUAUUGGCUUUUCCAGGCAGAAGUGUUACUUUUAAAGAGUGAACUUGCUGAAAGACAGAACUAUGUACCUUUAAGAUAAACCACGGGGAAUUAGUAUCUAAUCAAGCAAUGGAUUGUUCGUGCACUGUUUGUCCAACCAUUGCAGGGACAACAUGUAACCUCUCAAGACAUUUCUUUCUUUUUUUUUUUUUUUCCUUUAAAAGAUUAUGAUUUCUUUCAGUAGUCAAGCCCAAACAUUUCAUGUGAUCAAAUUAAGAAAACGUAAGAUUCUUUGCAAUGGGGAGGAAAAAAGAAUUGCUACACUGACAAAUUGUUUUAAAGCUUUCUAGGGACUACACAAUAGCUCUGGGAUCCCUUGGGUAAAAAUGAAAUAGCUGCACCUUAGGAAUAUAAUGGAAAGAUAUUAUCAGCCGUGGUUUACAGGGGUUAGAAAGAGGAUCCAGCCAGACUUCCCACAGAAUAUGUGAAUAAUCUAUGAGAAAGUUUGAGCCCAUUAAGGAUAACUACACAGUAUAUGCUAAACCUUGAUAGAUGUUAUACCCUAUUGGAAGUCAUCUACUUUUCUUUUCGGAUAGCCUUUUAAUUUAUACUUUAAUAUAAUCUUUUAAAAAUAAUUCUGACUGUACUGCACUUCUGACACGCAGACCAUCAUUUUAAAUCCUUUUAUCAGCACAUGUAUCACUUUGUCUCAUACUAGUAAUAGGAUGGGAGUCAAGGAAUAUCUAUAAUUUCACCUCAUGCCUCUUAGCAAUAAUGGAUUUAUGUGUUGCAAUGAAAUACUCUAUAACUUGCUAUUCAUUGAAUGAUAGCAAAGUACUGAGGAAAUUUGCUCAGUGACUGUUUUGUGCAAAGACCAUAAACAGUCCUGGGAUCAAAGCAAGGGCUCCCAUGGCUCAUUGAACACCCAAACCUGUAGGCUGAAGUCCUGUUCCCUUUAGUGUUUUCUUUCUGCUCCAUGAACAGUGAAUGUCUGCUACAUGCCUGGGGCUGGACCACUCACCUGCAUGGAGAAAAUACAUGCUGCAGGGUGAAGAGGAUCCUAAGUAUGGCUACCAGUCUUUGCCAGGGGAAAAGUAUCCAGCAAUGUAUCUACUACAAUGCCAAAAACUAUUGUACAAUGGUUUGCAAUGUACGUUCCCCUGAGCCUGUUAAGGGAAAUUACUAGACUGCUUCAGUCAAACCUUUGCACCAGAACUAUAAGCAAGAGGUGAACACAUAAUCCACCCAAAGCAGUUUGGAAAUUAAAAGCUACCAAGAUCAGGGGUUUAUGAAAAGUUCAUCAAAACUUAGCUAUUGGCUAUACUAACUGUCCUAGCAGUGUUGUAUCUCAGUUCUCAUAGAUUCCAUCUAGAAGUUUUCCUCUAGAUUCUUAAAUCCAGUUGAUCAGACAAAAAGUCAGGUCUGUGCAAGACACUGAAUGUUCUCGGUAGAAAUUAGAAGUCAUGGGUUUGUGAUCAGCUCCAGGGUUUGAUCUUGUUUGAUAAUCAGAGUUUGAUCAAAGCUGAUUUUCUGUACUGGUGCUUGAGAAAGAACCUUUGCCCCAUGAUGAUGCUGAUGCAUCUGUGAAGAAAUUAACUGGUCAUGUACUGUUAGCUUGUCCUUAUUUCCAACUGACAAAAUGUAUUAAAAGACACUAAAAAUAUCUGACACACUUAGAACCUUGUUUCUUGGAGCUGAUUGCUGUAUUUUCUACAGGCCUAUUACACAAUUAUGAAUGAAGUAUAAGGUUUUCCUAUUUAGCCAAAGUAGGACAUGUGGAGGUCAGCAGAAAUAUGCUGGUAGUGGCUAAGUGGGAAAUGUAAUGAAUAAUUGCAUUCAAAAAUGACCCAUGAUGCCUACCAGAUGUGAAGGUAAGGGCAGAAAUCUCCACCAGGGAGUAUGGGAUGGUGUAUAGUGUAAAGAAGUCUGUUGAAAUCAGUCGAUGGACAGCGUGAUCUGGAGCUGUGUGCAUGCGUAAAAACAGGUACCAGCAAAAAGAAAGGAAAAUCUAGAAUCCAGCUAGCAAAGAUAACAGCAAUUGGUCAAUGAGAGCACCAGUAAACUACAGGAAGAAAGGUAAAUGGUGGCAGACAAAUACUCGUGUGCUAGUGUGAACUAAAAAGUACAUGGGCCAGUGCAAUGCAACUUUCUUCCCCCAGGGAACUUUAAUUUGAUUAGUCAGUUAUUAGCAGUGGAAGUAAAUGGAUUAAGGAAGUGGAUGGAAAUGCAGUGGUUUCUCUCAUUUUUAACAGUGAUUUCUUGCAAAAAGUUGUGGGUAUUUUUUUACUUGGAUAAGAAGAGGGCCUAGGCAGCUUCUCAGAUUUGAAGAAAACCAAAUAAAUUGUGCUUUUGCUUGCCAAGACAACAUUUAUUGAAGCUCUGUGUAAUGCAUGUCCUGCUGAAGCAAGAAGAUGCUUGGCAGAAGGAAGACAGAGCUGAGGAAUAGUUUCCUCCUGCAAGAAACUGGUAUCUCCCAGUCAAGCAGGGCCUAAACCAAUCAAGUAGUGUGAAACACAGAUACCAGUGUAUAAUUCUAAUCUUUGUACAGUAAUAAGAUUUUGUGAUUACUGCUUUGUAGGUUGCACUCUGGUCAAGCAAGAUAAGUACUGGCAAUUUCCCUGAGCCUGAAUUCAGUAAGAUAUCACAUGUCACUUUCAACAGUGCUCUCUGUGGGCUGUGUUGAGAUCAAAACCUGGACUAGAGUGUAUCAAACAGAUCACAUAGUUUGUUAGGUGAUGGUGCUGUUAGGAUGGCACAGUCUAUUUCAAUAUCAGGAAUAUUCAGGCUGAGGAGUUUAGUGAGUUUGCAGCUAUAAUUGCGGUGAGGUUUUGAACAAGUUGCAAGACCAGAUUUUUGCUGGGUUUAAAUUGUCACAGAGGAGUAAAGAUUCAUUCUCCUUAAAUAUGACAGAAAGGCUUAAGGUACAAGAUCUCUAGGAGGAAAUUGUGUUUGGAACAAAAAAAAAGACACCAAAAAACAGUAAAUAGGUCAAACCCAUGUGGGCAUGAUCCUGUGGUCAACAUCUCCAGUGCUGCUUGAAUGCCACUAAGCCUGAGGACUAUCUCCUUGUCAUAUACUCGGUGUGGUCAUGACAUAGAGCUGGAUUUGGUAUCAGACUUUUCUGAAUGCUCAAAGAACAAUGUUGAGUUUGAAUGACAACAUAUGAGUAGUCACUUUAAUCUGUUUACCCAGUUCUAUAUUAAACCUCUAGAAUGUGACAGAAAUCAGCCAAUGUACCACACUCAGGAAUCAAGCCCAUUAACAGCGAUGAGUUAAGACGUCCUGCUGCUGAAGGGGGUUCUCUUGCAGUUAAAGAGACGCAUGCUCAGUUCCAGAUUUACCACAUCUUUCCAAGCAAAAAUGAGGCAAGUUUCUUCACCACUUGAUGCUGCUUUGGGGUUAUGUCCUUAUUUCCCAUAUUUCUUGCUCUAGAGAAAAGGGAGAACAGAAUCUUCUCUUAUAACAGCUAGGAAAAAGAAAUGAUCUGGGCUAAGACUAAUAGUUGUUGCAACAAUACAAAUAAUAAGGCUUAAAACCUUGUAAAAAAUGUUACUGUGUUCUAUUGCAAUAAAUUAGCACUAGUUAUUGAAAUGUUAGGAAGGUUUUUCUUUGCACUGCAGUGAUUAAAGCAGAUAAAUAAGAAGCUGGACAAUUUUUGUGUGUGGUUACUGUGUCUUAGGGCUGCCUCUAAUAGCCCCAGUGAUCUUUCCAUCGUUGUUAAUGGGCAUUUAAUUGGGAUUUAUUUCCAUGGAAUUUUUGUACCUUCAGAUCAUUACAGCACUGAGGGAAUUUUAUAGCCAUGGGGAUCAACACGGUCUCUCUAGAGGUUCUGUUUGAUGAAUGAAGUUGGAAAGAGUUGACAUAUAGUUAGAGACCAUUACCAUUUAGAAACACAGGAGUGAGAUCAAUCCUUUUCAAAAGGAUCCUCUUUGUCCUAUACUGUCUGCCAGUCGUGACUUAAAAAACAGUACAAAGAAUGCAUCUCAUCUUUUCUUCUGUUGUUAAUUGAUCUUUCCUUACCAUCCUGUAUGCUUUCUUUAUUUCAGAGCCUUGAAACUAAAUGGAACCCCCAUCUGUGGAGGAGAUAGCUAUUGCAUUUUGCCCCACCUUUCCACAGCUUAUAUGAUCACAGAGAAGAGUGGCUUGGAAAUGACAGCAUUGUCUUGUGAUUCAGGGGAGGUGAAACCAAAUCUUCUCCAUGCCAUAUAUUUCCUUGUCAAAUCACCUGUUUCUCAGAGAGGGAGAAAAAUUUGGGUCUUUUUCUAAGUUGCUAGGCGGAUGAUCAAGUGAAUAUUUAAGACUCUGAAUGAAUGAUGUGUGCCGUAAAAUAACAAAGAUAGAAUAAAUAGAAUUUAUCUUGUCCUGUGGCUUCUGCAAUAGGAUUAACUGGAGCACUCACUGUAGUUAAUAUGUAAUUAAUGUGUGGAUGGACUGUUGUCAGCUGUGUACAUGUUUGAUGUCAGCAAUAUAUUAAAGUAUAAGAAAUUAAUAAUGAAGCCUUCUUGAUAAAUUUGUAUCUUGAUAAUGCAGAGCUCCCCCCCUCAUUUAGCCUCCAGGUAUCCCUUGUUAGAAGAGUUAAGCUAGCUUGACUGGGUCAACUUCUUUUCUCUUGGUCCCUUCCCAUCUUCAGAGGACUUUACAUCUGGUUUCUCUGGUGGUUCCUGUUAUUAUUUUUUGAGUGCAUGCUUGAGUAUUUGUAAAGCUCACAAGGAGGACCCUCUUGUCACGAGCAACUACUUUGAAGCAUCCCCCUGCUUCUCAGCACUUUGCUUGGCAUGUAGUUAAACAAAUUUACACUUGGUAACUGUUCCUUUCUUCUUCUUUUUUUUUUUUUUUUUCUACCUGGUCCUAUGAGUGAGCACUCAAGACAGAUUUCAUUUCCUU